rnacentral:rRNA from 1 species
ACGUAGGUGGCAAGCGUUGUCCGGAUUUACUGGGUGUAAAGGGCGUGUAGGCGGGACUGCAAGUCAGAUGUGAAAUCUGUGGGCUUAACCCACAAACUGCAUUUGAAACUGUGGUUCUUGAGUGUUGGAGAGGCAGGCGGAAUGCCGUGUGUAGCGGUGAAAUGCGUAGAUAUGCGGCGGAACACCAGUGGCGAAGGCAGCUUACUGGACAAUAACUGACGCUGAGGCGCGAAAGCGUGGGGAGCAAACAG